rnacentral:rRNA from 1 species
CGAGCGAGAAAGUCGACUUCGGUCGACGAGUAAAGCGGCGAACGGGUGAGUAACACGUGGGUAACCUGCCCUGGAGUGGGGGAUAACCUGGGGAAACUCGGGCUAAUACCGCAUACGUUCUCGGCACUAUGGUGCCGAGAGGAAAGCUGGCCAAUGCUUGCAAGCCAGCGCUCUUUGAGGGACCCGCGCCCGAUUAGCUUGUUGGUGGGGUAACGGCCCACCAAGGCUGCGAUCGGUAGCCGGCCUGAGAGGGUGAUCGGCCACACUGGGACUGAGACACGGCCCAGACUCCUACGGGAGGCAGCAGUGGGGAAUAUUGGACAAUGGGCGCAAGCCUGAUCCAGCAACGCCGCGUGGAGGACGAAGGCCUUCGGGUCGUAAACUCCUGUCAGUUGGGACGAAAAGCUGUCGGUGAAUAUCCGGCAGUCAUGACGGUACCAGCAGAGGAAGCCCCGGCUAACUCCGUG